rnacentral:lncRNA from 1 species
UCAAGACCACAACGGGAACACAGCCAAGUCAGAGAAGGAAGACCAAAAGCACCGGGGCCCUUUAUAUUAUUAAGCUGCUAAAUUAACUAAUCUUGGAAACUUCUAGACUCUACAAUUCUUGUUGUAUGAGAACUUCUAGCAACUAACCCUGGCAUGACCACCAGAAUCUGCAGGGCUGAGAGAGGAAAGAAAGGCAAAAGUGGAUGAAUGCAGCUGAAGAUGGUAUGGAACUCCUAUCACAUUCCAAGUGCUGUGUUGAUAUCUGGAGAUAUAGACAAGAUUGAAGCAGAUGCAGAGUCUUUCACAUGAAUAUUUGAAUCAGGUAGUAUGUUCCCCAAAUUAGCAAAGUAUCUCCCAGAUUUUUUCUUUGAUGAUAUAUUUGAAAUCCUAAUGCUGAAAGUUAAAUUAUCAGGGUUUUAAAACUGGAAGCAGUCAUUAUCAGAAUUUUAUAUACUAUUUAUUUUUAAGAACAUAAUUUGACUCUUUAAGUCUUAUAAUUUUAAGUAAAGUACUUUGGGCAGUCAUAAAUAAAGUAAUGGGCAGGUAUUUAGUA